rnacentral:rRNA from 1 species
AUUGAACGCUGGCGGCACGCCUAACACAUGCAAGUCGAACGAGUGGCGGACGGGUGAGUAAUGUCUGGGAAACUGCCUGAUGGAGGGGGAUAACUACUGGAAACGGUAGCUAAUACCGCAUACCAUCGGAUGUGCCCAGCUGGGAUGAGCUAGUGGGUGGGGUAAAGUCUCACCUAGGCGACGAUCCCUAGCUGGUCUGAGAGGAUGACCCGCAACACUGGAACGGAGACACGGUCCAUACUCCUACGGGAGGCAUCAGUGGGAAAGAUUGCACAAUUGGCGCAAGCCUGAGGCAGCCAUGCCGCGUGUAUGAAGAAGGCCUGCGGGUUGUAAAGGACUUUCAGCGGGGAGGCGUUACCCGCAGAAGAAGCACCGGCUAACUCCGUGCCAGCAGCCGCGGUAAUUC